UCUCCUUCCUCAUUAGUUCAUUUUCAGUAACUUCUCUCCUUCCUUAAACUUCUCUCUCCUUCUCAUUUUUCUUUUUAUCCGUUACAUUUUUAUUUUCAUUCUAUCAUCCCACAUUUGUUUUUCUUCGCCGAAAAAUCUGCAAGUUCUUCGUCAGAUUCGUCAGAUUUUUCAAGGUGCUUGUUGGCGGAUUCUUCACUCAACCCUAAUUUCGCUCAACCAUUUUCUCAGUUCAAGUUCUCUUUCACUCAACUCCGUUUUCCAGCCAUUCGAACGAACGAAGGGAGACAUUCGAAGAAGAGCUGCGAAGAAAGAUUUUCGGCGACUACACAGCAGGUGCUUGGUGGUUCACGAAAAAGAUCGGCAGCAGCAGCCAGGAACAUAAUGUGGUUUGGUGGUUCAUGAAACAGAGCAACGCGCACUAGUGUAGAGCACAGAGUCUUUGUAUUUCGUUCUUUAAUUCGAUUCAGUUAGAACAAUCUUGUAUUUUCUUGUAAUUUCGAUUCAAAUUUACGUUCCUCAUUUCAUUCUUGUACUUCUUGUUGUUUCGAUUUUCACAUUGUUUCGAUUGUAUUUCGUUGUUUCGAUUCAGAUUAAUGCAAAUCAGUUAUUACUCCCAUAUUUUGUAUAUCGAUUUUAUUGUUGUGGAGUUGUAUAUCUGUAAUUUUAUUUUAUUGUUGUGGAGUUGUAAUUUUAGUAUUUCGUUGUUUCGAUUCAGAUUAAUGCAAACAAAACGUAUCCUUA